ACGUCAUGGUGACUCAUGAGAUCACCCCUCAGCGACGGGACCAUGGGCAGGAGAUCACCUGCCACGCAGCCCUGGACCUGACGCCACAUGGGCCCCACUUCGAAAACAGCUCCUCUGCGGUGAAACUCAAGGUUUAUGAUCUCCCAGAGGAGCCCCAGCUCCUAACCUCCCUCUAUAUCGAGGUGGGCACCAGGGCGACUGCCCGCUGUCGGGUGGCCGGGGUCUUCCCCACUGCAGGAGAGGCCCGGUUCACCCUGUCCUUUGGGGGGGAGAGCCUGAACUUCACCGUCGCCACGUCGGAUGACACAGCCACCGCCCAGGGCGAGGUUUGGUCCCCGUUCCCGGGACAGCGCGAGCUGAACUGCACCGUGACCAUGGGGCCCGUGUCCAGAUCCGCAGGGCAGAGCGUUCUCAUUUACAGUCUCCCCAAGCCUGUCCUGGAGGUAACUGAGUCCCGGAUCCUCGUUAACAGCAGCGUGACCGUUACGUGCCGUUCUCCUGAGCCCGAGCCCCUGGGCGUCCUGCUCCAGCUCAGAGAUGCCAAGGGAGUCCUGGUCCCCAGCGCCCCCGCCCAGCCCCCUCUGCAGUUCCAGCUGACGGCUGGCGAGGAAGACGAUGGGAGGGAGUUCACGUGUGAAGCAAGGCCUCACUCAGGCAUCCCGGCUGUGAAACACACGUCCGCCAGGCUCACUGUCCUCUACGGGCCCAGGAUGGACGACUCCGGCUGCCCCAGGGAGUGGAUCUGGAAGGAGGGGACGGAGCAAAACUUCUCCUGCCUGGCCCGGGGGAACCCAGCGCCAGCCGUGGAGUGCACGAAGGACGGGGUGUCCAUCAGCAUCGGGGUGCAGCGGCAGGUCAGGAGAGAGGAUGCUGGGACCUACCACUGCAAAGCAUCCAACCCGCACGGCUCAGCCAGCCGGGAUGUGACCGUCCAGGUGGAAUACUUCCACAUCCUGCCGUUGGUUCUGGGGCUGGUAGGUGCGGCUGCUGCUGGGGCCGGACUAGCCGCGUGGGGCUACAUGUACUAUCGCUCCAAGAGAAUCCGCAAGUACCGCCUGAGACAGCAGCAGGCCAAGCUUGUCGAGCAGGGCAAGCCGGCCGAGCAGAGGAGCCUGAACGGGGCCGCCCAGAGCCCGCCGGAUGUGGAGCACAGUGUCUAGCCUGGAGUGCAGGACCCAGAGCCCUGGGGCUCCUGGCUGCUGCUUUACCCCUUCACCCGCGGGGUGGCCCCGUUAACCCUUGGGAUGCUGGGCAGUGCCAAGAGCCUGGCGGUUCAUGGCCUCUGCGCUGGCAGCCCGGGGCCCUCCCUUGCACACACCAGCUGCUCUCUGGAGAAGGAGGGAGGUGCCCGGCGCGGGGCAGACACCCCAGGACGUCCAGAGCUGGAAUCUCCCAUGUCCUUGGCCAGAGGGACGUCUGGCUGCAGCUGAGCUCUGCCCCACUGGAGAAGCAGGUGGCUGGGAGACCCCAGGCCCAGCAGGAAACACUAAGUCGGAACAGUUGUGCCAGGAGAGGAACGGCGUUAACGGCCACCUGUAACCACUUCUGCUAGUGAUGGGGAAGGCACCUCCGAGCCGCACACGAGCUCUGCCCCAGCUGGGGAGGCGGCCGCCCGGGACACGUGCGAAUGGAUCCACGGGAUCACUGUGAAAACUGUUCAACACUAACCAGACGGGCUUUGGGAUCGCCGGGUCUGUGCAACUGAGACAGGUCGGGGGAUCCGUUCUUGGAUCAGCUGAAUUGCAAGACCCUACGUCCUCCCUCCCCUCCCAUAUCCCCAGCCAUGGAGCAGACUCAGGGAUACCAGGUCUCCCUCUCCUGUGGGGCUGAGCUGGGCACGGCAUGGCAAGGACCAGGAUCUGUGCUCCUCGGGCCAGGAGAGGGGAGGGGGUCAAUGACGUUGUGACAAAAUGGGAAUGUUCUUGAUGUGUUUGAAUGCUGAGUGUGGAGUACUGACCUGGGAAGGGUGCAGGGGAGUUUUGCUGGGACGGGUUGCACUGGGGAAGGGAGGACACCUGAGCAUGUAACAUGUGAACCCAGGAGGGGGGUUGGAGGCCAGGUGACACCUCUGCCCUGGAAACUGAACAAAGGACACAAAGGCUGGGGGAGGAGCUGGGGGGAGGCUGAGUGAGAGGCUGGAGGGAGUUUCAGUUUGGAGCUGGCUGGGAAAUGGAGAGGAGCUCCGAUGGGGCUUGGGCUUCCCAAUGGGGCUGUGGCCUGCCUUGGGCCCCCAGCUGGACCUAACUAAAGGGGGUCCUGUUUGUACCGGCAAGACCUGUUUUAGACUCUGUUCCUGCCAUCUAAUAAACCUUCUGUGUUGCUGGCUGAGCUUCACGGUCAAUCGCAGGAAGACGGGGGAGCCGGGCCCUGACUCCCCCACACUCUGACAGAUGUUAAUAACUGGAAGUGAAAGCCCCCAGUCAGUGUUAAGAGAAACAGUAAAAGAACUAAAGAAGAGCCACCGUGGCUUAACAACCAUGUGAAAGAAGCAGUGAGAUGAAAAGACUUUCUUUAAAAAGUGGAAGUCAAAUCCUAGUGAGGCAAAUAGAAAGGAGCACAAACACUGCCAGCUUAAGUGCAAGAGUGUAAUAAGAAAAGCCAAAGAGGAGUUUGAAGAGCGGCUAGCCAAGAACUCCAAAGGUAAUAACAAUGUUUUUUAAGUACAUCAGAAGCAGGAAGCUAAACAACCAGUGGGGCCCCUUGACAAUCGAGAUACAAAAGGAGCACUUAAAGAUGAUAAAGUCAUUGCAGAGAAACUAAAUGGAUUCUUUGCUUCAGUCUUCACGGCUGAGGCUGUUAAGGAGAUUCCCAAACCUGAACUGACUUUUGUAGGUGACAAAUCUGAGGAACUGUCACAGAUUGAAGUCUCACUAGAGGAGGUUUUGGAAUUAAUAGAUAAACUCAACAUUAACAAGUCACCGGGACCAGAUGGCAUUCACCCAAGAGUGCUGAA